UCGAGCCGGACAGAUGGGAGCUUGCUCCCUGAUGUUAGCGGCGGACGGGUGAGUAACACGUGUCUAACCUGCAUGUAAGACUGGGAUAACUCCGGGAAACCGCGACUAAUACCGGAUGGUUGUUUGAACCGCAUGGUUCAAACAUAAAAGGUGGCUUCGGCUACCACUUACAGAUGGACCCGCGGCGCAUUAGCUAGUUGGUGAGGUAACGGCUCACCAAGGCAACGAUGCGUAGCCGACCUGAGAGGGUGAUCGGCCACACUGGGACUGAGACACGGCCCAGACUAAUACGGGAGGCAGCAGUAGGGAAUCUUCCGCAAUGGACGAAAGUCUGACGGAGCAACGCCGCGUGAGUGAUGAAGGUUUUCGGAUCGUAAAGCUCUGUUGUUAGGGAAGAACAAGUACCGUUCGAAUAGGGCGGUACCUUGACGGUACCUAACCAGAAAGCCACGGCUAACUACGUGCCAGCAGCCGCGGUAAUACGUAGGUGGCAAGCGUUGUCCGGAAUUAUUGGGCGUAAAGGGCUCGCAGGCGGUUUCUUAAGUCUGAUGUGAAAGCCCCCGGCUCAACCGGGGAGGGUCAUUGGAAACUGGGGAACUUGAGUGCAGAAGAGGAGAGUGGAAUUCCACGUGUAGCGGUGAAAUGCGUAGAGAUGUGGAGGAACACCAGUGGCGAAGGCGACUCUCUGGUCUGUAACUGACGCUGAGGAGCGAAAGCGUGGGGAGCGAACAGGAUUAGAUACCCUGGUAGUCCACGCCGUAAACGAUGAGUGCUAAGUGUUAGGGGGUUUCCGCCCCUUAGUGCUGCAGCUAACGCAUUAAGCACUCCGCCUGGGGAGUACGGUCGCAAGACUGAAACUCAAAGGAAUUGACGGGGGCCCGCACAA
rnacentral:rRNA from 1 species